UGGGGAAUUUUGGACAAUGGGGGAAACCCUGAUCCAGCCAUCCCGCGUGUGCGAUGAAGGCCUUCGGGUUGUAAAGCACUUUUGGCAGGAAAGAAACGUCGCGGGUUAAUACCCCGCGAAACUGACGGUACCUGCAGAAUAAGCACCGGCUAACUACGUGCCAGCAGCCGCGGUAAUACGUAGGGUGCAAGCGUUAAUCGGAAUUACUGGGCGUAAAGCGUGCGCAGGCGGUUCGGAAAGAAAGAUGUGAAAUCCCAGAGCUUAACUUUGGAACUGCAUUUUUAACUACCGGGCUAGAGUGUGUCAGAGGGAGGUGGAAUUCCGCGUGUAGCAGUGAAAUGCGUAGAUAUGCGGAGGAACACCGAUGGCGAAGGCAGCCUCCUGGGAUAACACUGACGCUCAUGCACGAAAGCGUGGGGAGCAAACAGGAUUAGAUACCCUGGUAGUCCACGCCCUAAACGAUGUCAACUAGCUGUUGGGGGCCUUUCGGGCCUUGGUAGCGCAGCUAACGCGUGAAGUUGACCGCCUGGGGAGUACGGUC
rnacentral:rRNA from 1 species